CGCCCUUUUGUUGUUGCUUCGGAUGAUGAUUAAUUGUUGUUUUGCGGGUUUUGGUCUGCAGGGGCAAUGCGGAUCAUGUGAUUUAUGCGUGCGCGGCUGUGGGUCGCACCGUUUAUCUGCUGCUUUGAGGUGAGAUGGCAGGGUUAACGUAGCAUUUCCGGCAUGUUUGUUGUGUCUUUCGGGGCGUUGAUUUUUUGUCUACUGCAACUUGCAUUGGUGCUUAGAAUGGGAAAUUAAGAGGUGGGCUUUGUGAGUGGACAAGGAAAUAGGGCAUGUAUUUGCACACGCGUCCAAUCAAUAUUUACUGAGUUUAGUGCGUGAUCAAGGUUGACUAAGCUUAGAAUAUAUGUCUAUGUCAUUCAUCCCAUAGAACUGUUUACUACUAUAUGCCACAGGUUACUUACAACAGAACAGUAAAAUGUGCAAAAAAAACGUAGCCACUCAUCGAGUGUUUGUGCUAUCAAAAAGUAUUCUUCUUCUUUUAUCUAUCUGUUCUCUCCUGCCAUUGUUCUGUUCCUUGCAUUCCCCAUUUUGUUCAAAUUGCACCGUUGAUUGAUAAUAACGCGCCUUUCAAUCCUGGUCAUUCCAGCAGCCAGCUUGGAUGGUAUUUAAGCUAAGGAGUUGUAUAAAGGUAACAUCUGAACCUCUUCUCUAUCAAACCAUGGCCUUGUCAUAUUUAAAAACUUAUAUUAUGAGCUGAAUGAUGUAACAUGACUUCUACAUGAAUUUUUGUGACGGAGCUAUCUCAAUUAGAAUACAAGAUUGGUGGCUCUCACUUCCUACAGGGAUUAUAUACCUCUGUUCUUACCUAGCUAUGAAACUGAGCUAGGUAGUAAGAAUUUUUGGUGACCCUCAGAUGGAAGACUGAGUUUGCAAUUCUUGACUAAAUUUGCAACUAAAAUGUACCUAUGAACGAUAUUGUUGAAGCAGGUUUCUCGGACGUCUACAUUAGAAGUACACAAUAAGAAAUUUAAGUCUUGGAUUCACUCAUAGCUAAGUUUGUUUUGAUCAACUUGAAUGAUUCGUGUCAUAGCUAUGCUAAGAUAUUAGUACAUGCUAAAGGGGGUUGUUAACUGUUAACUUUAUGUAUUUUAGUUUUACUUUAUUGAAUGGCCACAUGAAAUUCCCCCAUAAAUUUUAUUGAUGUGAAUUGGUUAUGUGGUAUCUGUAUGAACACCCCAGUUUUUCUACAGUAGAAACAAAAUAUGUUGUCAACUAUGAAAAUAUAAGAAUUUCUGCAUUGUUUUGAGAAGGAAUAUUUUAUCUUCCUAGUCAGUGUUUGGUGUUCCCCAUCCGCUACAGAUCUGUUUCAGGCCCCUACUGCAGAAUGGUGGAGAGGGAGCAGGCUUUGGAAACUCAUGUUUUUGCUUGGGAUUAAAUUUUUGGUCGUCUGAGAGGUUUAGAAGCUGCUAGGUACGUGCUAAUUAGCUCAUGGUGUGUGCUGAUUAACCUGUUGCCUUAGAUUUUAAGCUUUUGCUGUGACUCAAGGUUAUCUUUGAGCUUUCUCCUUUUGCAUGAAUUUAAGAUGUUGCUGAAGGCUAAGGCUAUUCCUAUUGACAAAUUAAUGAGAAUUACCCAUAAUUUGGCAUUCUAAAAAUAUGUGAAUUUUAUUUUGAGUGAAAUGAUUGCUAUAUCGAUAUGCAUACAUAAUUUUUACUUAUGACUUCCCUUCUGUCAACGGUUACCCUCUAUAGAAUUAUGUAAACUCCUUUGGUAUCCCCAUAAACAUUGUUGAUCUAUGUCCAGUUUAUUUACCUAAUGUAUGAUUGCACUGUUCAUGGCUGUCAGGCUAUAUCCAACAUGAAGCUUUGAUGCUCCUGCAGAUGGCGGCAAUGUAAUUACUCAAGGCUACAACUAACUACAUUCACCUGUCCUUGGUCAAAUUGUAAUACACUAACCUAUCAGUCUCCAGUAAUAAUAGUAAACACUAGCAGUAACAAGGAACCUGAGCACAAGGACAACAAUAAUGAAAGUGAUAACAGAGGAAUGCAGAUCUUUCCUACGUUUUGAUGCACAACCUUCCCUCCAACUUGUUCAUAUCAUAGUAUAUUUGUUACACUACGCAUGCCUUACGGUAGAUUUGGACGGGAAGAAUGAAAGACCACCAAAGGAUCAUUAGAGGGAGGUGUUUUAAAGACGUUUAGACUUCUGGUAUGCCAAUAUGGAUUAUAAAUUUAUAAUACAAGGUGAUACUAAUAGUUUUCUGGAACAUAUGCAGACCACCUAAUGAGGAGACCAAAGGGUUGCUAACCUGGGAAAGUUACAGUUGUUUAUCUUCUUCCCAUCGUACCUCCUCCAUUGGUGGUCGUAGUUGUGCGGUGCAAAGGUAUCCACCUUCCUCGAUGGCUUCUCCACACAGGUCCAUCAGGAGGAAGAUCAAAGAUGAAAGUAAGCUAUUAGAUUGUUUUUCUUCAUAUGGGAUAUUUUAUUGAAUUGUUCCCUACGCUCCAUUGCUUUUCAGCAAUUCUAUACUCAACGAUGAUUUGGUGUCACUCUACCACAUCAAUAUAUGUGAUCCUAUAGCUAAAGCUUUCAGCAUAUGUGACCCACUCUAUAUCGAGGAAAUGUAAUUUCAAAUAUUUGAAGUUUCUCAAUAUUUCCAUUUUCUUUAAAAAA
rnacentral:lncRNA from 1 species